CAAGUCUCGACCUCGCGUACCACACGUCGCUGCGACUCUGUGAGCUUUUCUGUAGGUAAAGGUUGUUGCCAAUCAUCAGGAAUCCAGGUUAAUGUGCUACACAACGUCAACUCGACGCAUCAACACUUUCAAAGUUUCAGUUGUGCCAACACACAAAAGGGAGAUAAUUCAGAGAAACCAAUCAGCACAUAUAGCUGAUACUAUUCACCAUAAAUCCAAUGGGGAAUUCACCAUAAAUACAUCAA